rnacentral:sRNA from 1 species
UCCCAAGUAGCUAGGACUACAGGCAUGUACCACCAUGCCCUGCUAACUUCUAAAUUUUUUGUAGAGACAAGGUCUGGGUAUGUUGCCCAGGCUGGUCUCGAACUCUUGGCCUCAAGUGAUUCUCCUGCCUCAGCCUCUCAAAGUGCUGGGAUUACAGGGUUUAGCAACCGCACCCGGCCACUCCUCCAUUUCUGUGCAGUGCCUUUCCUCAAAAUUUCCCAUCCCCAUCAAGUUAAUUUGGGAGAGAGCCAAGAAUUCUUUGGGCACAUAGGGGUGAGUCCCUCUACCCACCCUCAGUCCUCACCCCAAGUUGCCCCUGGCACAGAAUUCCUUCGACAAUCCUGAGUGGUUUUAUCGGCAUGUGGAAGCACACAGUCUGUGCUGUGAAUACGAAGCAGUCGGCAAGGACAACCCGGUGGUGCUGUGUGGCUGGAAAGGCUGUACCUGCACCUUCAAGGACCGCAGUAAACUUCGAGAGCACCUCCGCAGCCAUACCCAGGAGAAAGUGGUAGCCUGCCCCACCUGUGGGGGCAUG